rnacentral:rRNA from 1 species
AUGAUUUUUGCGGUGGCAGUAUGGAAUAUAUGGGAGAAUAGGAACUCAUGUCGCAAUGGUGAGGUACUCUCUCAUCCUACUCAUGUUGCUGGAAGAAUUAAAGCUUAUAUUGAUUUUAUCUUGCUGAAUAGCAACAGAUCAGCAGGCUCCAACAGGCGUGAUACAUCAACAUCAAUUCAAAAAUGGUCUCCGCCGCCAGAAGGACUGCUCACGAUCCAUGUGGAUGCUGUGAUUUUCUCAUAAUCUAGACGCGUUGGAUUUGGAGUGGUAAUGCGAGAUCACCAGGGACUGGUGUGAGCUGCUUGCCGAGGAUUUAUCAAUCAUGUACACUGUCCUGAGGUGGCUGAAGCCCAUCCUGUUCGCCAAGCACUCAUCCUUGCUGAAAACACGGGGUUCCAAAUGUUUCAGGUGGCCUCAGACUGUCUCUCGGUGAUUAGGAAAAUCCAACAACAUGGCUUGGACAGAUCCCUGACUGGCGCUAUAGUCUAUGAUAUUAAGAGUAGGGCUACAAAGUUUACAUCCCGUACUUUUAGACAUGUUGUUCAUACAUGUAAUGAGGCUGCUCACAUUCUGGCCAAAUCUGCAGAGCAAUAUUCCGAUUCUAGUUGGUUUAAUGAGUGCCCUGAUAUGAUCAGGGCCAUUAUCUGUAACGAACAAUAUUGA